AUGCACAGUUAUGGGCACAGCAAAAUAAUUCGGUGGAUUCCCUUGAUGCAGCUAUUAAAUUGGAGGCAUAACUGUUAUCUUCCUCUCUAUUUAACCCUUCGUCCUGGUACCAUACAAAUAGAAUGUUUACUCAGCUUUUUAUUUUUGUGAGUAAGCCCAUGUAAUGGGACUUGGGCACUAGGGCACUUGAUGGGUGACUCUUGCGGGGUUGCAUCCUCAGAAUGAGUGUGCAAAGGGGUAACAUUUGCCAUAUCUUGGAAGAAAAGAAGCAACAAUAUGCUACAUAAGAAGCUAUUUGGAACUGAAAUUAUGGUGAGAUGUACAUAAGCCUUCACAACUCACUCAAUAGCAUAGAUCAACAAAGACUUCAGAUCUAAUUUUUCUCACAUAUCUAUUUUCUGGUCCUUAGAUUGGAUGAGAUUGAAUAUAGUUGAGAUGAACUUGUUUCCCAUCAUUGUUAUAGAGUAACUGUAUAUCAAAUAAUAUAUAAAUUUUGUAUCAUCAAAUGACAUUUAGAUGUUUUAAAGUUCGUGUAAUUCCAGAAAUGCUGACGUUAGCCUUUGCGUGUGGUUCCAUAUAUUGAUAGCUUAAUAAGAGCAAGCUGCU
rnacentral:misc_RNA from 1 species